AUUGAACGCUGGCGGCAGGCCUAACACAUGCAAGUCGAGCGGAGCGUCGGACGGGUGCGUAAUGCCUAGGAAUCUGCCUGGUAGUUGGGGAUAACGUCCGGAAACGGGCGCUAAUCCCGCCUACUAUCCGAUGAGCCUAGGUUGGAUAACCUAGUGGGUGGGGUAAUGGCCUUCCAAGGCUGCGAUCCGUAACUGGCCUGAGUGGAUAAUCAGUCAAACUGGAAAUGGACAAAGGGCCAGACUCCAACGGGAGGAAGGAGUGGGGAACUUUAGCAAAUGGGGGAAAGCCGGAACCAGCAAUGCGGCGUGGGUAAAGAAGGUGUUCGGAUUGUAAAGCACUUUAAGUUGGAAGACGUUACCAAAAGAGUAAGCAACGGCUAACUACGUGCCAGCAGCCGCGGUAAUUC
rnacentral:rRNA from 1 species